rnacentral:rRNA from 1 species
GAUGAACGCUGGCGGCGUGCCUAAUACAUGCAAGUCGAGCGAACAGACGAGGAGCUUGCUCCUCUGACGUUAGCGGCGGACGGGUGAGUAACACGUGGAUAACCUACCUAUAAGACUGGGAUAACUUCGGGAAACCGGAGCUAAUACCGGAUAAUAUAUUGAACCGCAUGGUUCAAUAGUGAAAGACGGUUUUGCUGUCACUUAUAGAUGGAUCCGCGCCGCAUUAGCUAGUUGGUAAGGUAACGGCUUACCAAGGCGACGAUGCGUAGCCGACCUGUGAGGGUGAUCGGCCACCCUGGAACUGAGACACGGUCCAGACUCCUACGGGAGGCAGCAGUAGGGAAUCUUCCGCAAAGGGCGAAAGCCUGACGGAGCAACGCCGCGUGAGUGAUGAAGGUCUUCGGAUCGUAAAACUCUGUUAUUAGGGAAGAACAAAUGUGUAAGUAACUAUGCACGUCUUGACGGUACCUAAUCAGAAAGCCACGGCUAACUACGUG